rnacentral:rRNA from 1 species
UACGGAGGGGGCUAGCAUUGCUCGGAAUUACUGGGCGUAAAGCGCACGUAGGCGGCCAUGAUAGUCAGAUGUGAAAGGCCUGGGCUUAACCCGGGAACUGCAUUUGAUACUGCGUGGCUAGAGUCCAAGAGAGGGUAGUGGAAUUCCCAGUGUAGAGGUGAAAUUCGUAGAUAUUGGGAAGAACACCAGUGGCGAAGGCGGCUACCUGGCUUGGUACUGACGCUCAGGUGCGAAAGCGUGGGGAGCAAACAGG